rnacentral:rRNA from 1 species
GACGAACGCUGGCGGCGUGCUUAACACAUGCAAGUCGAACGGAAAGGCCCUGCUUUUGUGGGGUGCUCGAGUGGCGAACGGGUGAGUAACACGUGAGUAACCUGCCCUUGACUUUGGGAUAACUUCAGGAAACUGGGGCUAAUACCGGAUAGGAGCUCCUGCUGCAUGGUGGGGGUUGGAAAGUUUCGGCGGUUGGGGAUGGACUCGCGGCUUAUCAGCUUGUUGGUGGGGUAGUGGCUUACCAAGGCUUUGACGGGUAGCCGGCCUGAGAGGGUGACCGGCCACAUUGGGACUGAGAUACGGCCCAGACUCCUACGGGAGGCAGCAGUGGGGAAUAUUGCACAACGGGCGGAAGCCUGAUGCAGCAACGCCGCGUGCGGGAUGACGGCCUUCGGGUUGUAAACCGCUUUCGCCUGUGACGAAGCGCGAGUGACGGUAAUGGGUAAAGAAGCACCGGCUAACUACGUG